GUAAGCAAAUGGUAAAGGGGUGGGUGAUUCUGGGAUUGAUGCAGGAGGGCGACAGAAAUAAAAGUAAAAUAUUAAAUUUUUGCUGUUAUUGACUUUGCUUUACAAUAUCAAACACUGAGCCAGAUGCACAAUAGUCAUGUACAUCACACGUAAACACAUUAAUGUAAAAACACAGAGGUUAGGCCAUCAAAGUGUGUGUAAAAGAAGUGUUUAUGUCUGUCUUGCAGUUUCUGUUCCUGUCCGAGGUUUGCAGUGGAGAGCUCAGACCACACAGGACCCCGUCCUCUCCAAACCCUGCUCAGCUCUCUGGUACCAGCACACCCACGCACAACUGGGCACCUUAAAAAAUUGUAGAAAAAUUCAAGCAAGUAGAAAACGGAAUAAUAAUUAUCCAUAACUGUGGAUGAACUGGCCGUUAGAUGAACUGCAGUCUUUGUCCUUUGAGUGUGGCAGGUGGCUUCUUGAUGGCUCACACCGUUCCCUCUCUCACCUCCUGCAGGGGCAGUGUCCAGCUCUCUCACCUGUCUGCAGACGGCGGAGGGAGUGGCAGCUCUGCUGAUGGAGAGAGGCGGUCUGGAGGAAGGAGAUAAUGUCGCUCUGGUGUACCCGCCAGGUAUAGACCUGAUCGCAGCCCUUUACGGCUGCCUGUACGCCGGCUGCGUUCCCAUCACAGUGCGACCGCCUCACCCUCAGAACAUCUCCACCACCCUGCCCACUGUUAAGAUGAUUGUCGAGGUCAGACUCUUAAUUUGUCUGUUAAACCGAUGCGGUUUCUCCUUCAGUCAGACCUCCAGGGCUCAAGCUCUCGCUCCCAGCUAAUUCCAGACUCGUACGGCUCUGGCUGACUUCUGAUUUCCUCUGGGGAAAAAAGGGAGCUUAAUUUCUUCUUCUGUCUUUCUCUUUCUAAUUGUGCAGGUGAGUCACUCGGCGUGUGUGAUGACCACCGCCGUCAUCUGUAAGCUGCUGCGCUCCAAAGAGGCCAUGGCCACGGUGGACAUCAGUCCUGGACACCGGUACAGCGUUUCAUUCAUAUCCGCACAGGGAAAUCACGCUCGCAUUAGGCUGUCUGUGUGCAGAAACAACAUCACAUCAGAGGGUCUGCUGUUGUUGGCUCGGGCUGUGAAAUCCAGCUCGACUCUGACUCACAUCUACAUCUGGGGAAACCACCUGGAGGAGCCCGUAUGCCAGGUACACCCCUCAGAUGUCUGUUUCAUCUUCUCCUCUAACAUCCCAUCACCCCUCUAA
rnacentral:lncRNA from 1 species